GACGAACGCUGGCGGCGUGCUUAACACAUGCAAGUCGAACGAUGAAGCUGGAGCUUGCUCCGGUGGAUUAGUGGCGAACGGGUGAGUAACACGUGAGAGAUCUGCCCUUCACUCUGGGAUAACUGCGGGAAGCUGUAGCUAAUACCGGAUACUUUCCCUGGUGGGCAUCCACUAGGGAAGAAAGAAUUUCGGUGAAGGAUGAUCUCGCGGCCUAUCAGCUAGUUGGUGAGGUAAUGGCUCACCAAGGCGACGACGGGUAGCCGGCCUGAGAGGGUGACCGGCCACACUGGGACUGAGACACGGCCCAGACUCCUACGGGAGGCAGCAGUGGGGAAUAUUGCACAAUGGGCGAAAGCCUGAUGCAGCAACGCCGCGUGGGGGAUGAAGGCCUUCGGGUUGUAAACCUCUUUUAGCAGGGAAGAAGCGAAAGUGACGGUACCUGCAGAAAAAGCACCGGCUAACUACGUGCCAGCCGCCGCCGUAA
rnacentral:rRNA from 1 species